GUCAGCUUUGAGAAAUUUUUUAUGUAAAAGUUAGGUUUAGUUGUAUUAUUUUGAUAUCUCUAUUAUUGUAUUACUUUAUUAUUGUUUACAGAUGUUAGGUGAAUGUCGAACGACUUUGAGAAAUUUUUUGUGUGUAAAGAUUAGAUUUAGUUGUGUUAUUUUGAUAUCUCAAUCAUUAUAUUAUUUUGUUAUAAUUUAUAGAUGGUAGAUGAAUGUCGAUCGACUUUUAAAAAUAUUUUGGUAAAGAUUAGGUAUAAUAAAUAAAUUCUUCAUCUUUACAUACUCAAAAGAUAUUAGUUUUUUUCUUCAUUUUUUCUUUUCCUUUUUUUGUUUUCUCUUCUUUCUUUCUUUUUUCAAAUUUUUCUUUCUCGUUAUCUUUUUUCCAUUUUGUCUUUUUUUUUUCUUUUUUUUUUUUUGUUUUUUUCCCCUAUUUUCUAUUACUCUUUUCUUUUUUUUUUUCCAAUUUUUUCCUUCAUUUUUUCUUUUCCUUUUUUUGUUUUCUCGUUUUUCUUUCCUUUUUCAAUUUUUUUCUUUUUCGUUGUCUUUUUUUCAUUUUAUCCUUUUUUUUUUCUUUUUCUUCUUUUCCUUUUCAAUUUUUCUCUUUUUUUCUCUAUUUUCUAUUACUGUUCUUCUUUGUUUGUAUUUUUCUCGUUUUUUCUUCUUUUUUUUUUCUUUUUCUCUUUCUUUUCAUUUGUGCGAACUAGCAAACACAAAUACAAGUGUGAACUAUAAAAUAUAAAUACAAAGACGAAUUAUAACAUACAAAUACAAGUGGGAACUAUAAAAUACAAAUAUAAAUGCGAAUUAUAACAUAUAGAUACAAGUGUGAACUAUCAUUUAUAUUUUUUAAUUAUUGAAAAGGAACGAUUGAUUUUCUUUUUACGAAUAUUUAUUUGUAUUUAUUUAUACGAGUUGUAUUUAUUGAUACAAAUAAAUACAAUUCAAUUUUUUUACAAAAAAUACAAUAUAUACAAAUACAAUAUCUAUUUGUAUUUUUAAAAUUAUUGGUUUUAUUUGUUUGUAAUUGUAUUUGUAUCAAGUGAUAUUUAUUUAUUUACAAAUACGAAUAGAAUAGAAUAUUUUAUAUUUUGAAAGUGAAUACAACGGCUGUGAAUAGAAUACAACAGCUAAAUGAUACUGUAUUUGUAUUUUAUAUUUUAUAUGAAUACAUACUAUUGAUAAAGUUGAAUACAACGGGUGUAAAUUGAAUAUAGCGGCUAUAAAUGAUAAUUAUAUAAUAUAUGGCUAUGAAAGGUGAGUUUUCCAGCAAAAUGUAGCAAUUUUUGAAAGAUCCCCUUUUUAUUAUAUUAACUAGAAUCCUAAAACAUAUGGACUCCUAAAAUAUAUGAAAGGAAAAUCAAUUAAUAUUUUCGUUUGUACUGAUCAAUUAGAGAAAUACUCCUAAAAUAGUAUAGAAAAAUUCUCCUAAAAUAGGAUUCCAUUAAGUAAAUACUUCUAUAAAUAUUAAGAUGCACGUUAAACUAGAGAAAAAACCAAUUUACUUAUUGGAUAAAUAUGAUAGAUGCUCAUCUAACUUGAUUCGGUUGCAUGUCUAGAUUCGUGGAUGCUCAAUUUUCUAACCCUCAACUUCUUCACUAUUUUUGUCAACAUAAUAAAAUUCAAUGUGUGUGUAUAUAUAUAUAUCUUCUUUGCUUUCAUUCAAGUCAUUCUUUAGUGUCAAAAUUUUUGCUCAGACAAGAAUUAUUUACAUCAAAACUGAAGUUUUGUGAUCACUAUUGUAUUAUUUUGUUGUAGUUUACAGGUUGUAGAUGAAUUUACAGGUGGUAGAUGAAUGUUGGUCGGCUUUGAGAAUUUUUUUUGGGUGAGGGUUAGGUUUAAUUGCAUUGUUUUUAUAUCUCUGUUUUGCAAAAUUUUUUUGCGUAAAGGUAAAGUUUAGUUGUAUUAUUUUGAUAUCUCUAUUGUCAUAUUAUUUUGUUAUAGUUUACAGGUGAUAGACGAGUGUCGGACGGCUUUGAAUUGUGUAAAGGUUAGAUUUAAUUAUAUUGUUUUGAUGUCUCUAUCAUCUUAUUGUUUUGUUGCUGUUUAUAGGUGGUAGAUGAAUGUCGAUCGGCUUUGAGAAAUUCUUUUGGUAAAGGCUAGGUUUAAUUAAAUCAAUUCUCCAAAAGAUGUUAAAUUUAAUUAUUGUAUUUAUCUUUAUUAUUUAAACAAAUUUGAACUCGAUAAAGUGAGGUACACUAAACUAGUUUUAUAAUACAUGGUAACCCACUUUUACUAAUAUUAUUUACAACAGUGGCUUUUAUGGCUUUGAUUAUUUUUUUUGAGAUAAGCAUCCAGUAUUGCCUCAAACUAUGGUAAAAUUUGUUACAACACACUCCAACUUCACAGAGAUCCUAUUACCCCUGAACUCAAUUUUAGCAAAUUUUUGUCACUCUUUUGUGCUGACGUAGCAUGUUUGUUAUAUAAAAGGGGCUCCACGUCAAAGAUGUCACGUCAGCUAAAAAGAUUGACAAAAGAUGUUACGGCAGCACAAAAGAGUGAUAAAAAUACGCUAUAAUUGAUUUCAGGGGUAAUUGGAUCCCCUGAAUUUGGAGUGUGUCGUAGCAAAUUUGAUCAUAGUUUAGGGUAGUAGAUGCUUUACUCUAUUUUUUGAAAAAACUUGGUUUGAAUUUAGAUGCAGCCUAUUUAGAAGAAGAAAGAAGUAUACAAUGACUAUUGUUGUCUAAAAAUUUUCUUUGAAAAGUAACUUUUGUUCUUGUUUAAAAGAACUACAAUGCUUUAUUUAUAACUCUUGACUAAUGGUCUAGCUCUGCAUCUGCAAGGGGGUGUAAUAUAGACGACCUACCCUUAUGCAAGCUGAUUCUAUGGCCCCAUUCCAAUGACUUAUAGGUCACAAAGCGACACAUAAGUAAGUAGCCUACCCUAACACUGCUUCCAAUGCUCAAACCUGUGACCUAUAGAUCACAUGGAGAAUUGCGUAACCGCCACCAUCAACAACUGAUUCCACGACACAAACCUAUGACUGGCAUAUAUUUAAGCAACCUAUUUGGAUGUGCAAGUACCAGUGUGACUUCGUAGCUCGAACUCGUGAGCUAUAAGUCACACGUAAACUUUAUUGUCAGCCUAUCCUGCUGUUCAGGUACCAAUGAGUGAUUUGGAUGACUCGAGUUCACGCACAAUUGUCCUUGCUCCAAAGAUAGAGAAAAAUGAUUAUCCUAAUGUACACAGUGUGAUGGUGCAGUAUACUUUCUUAAUUCUUACUAUUGAAAAGGGCAGCCCGCUGUGCUAUAGCUCCCGCUAUGCACAGGGUUUGUGGAAGGGCCCCACCACAAGGGUGUAUUGUACGCAGUCUUACCUUGUAUUUCUGGUAGUUACCUUGACCAGGAGGUCACAUGACAACAACUUUACCGAUUAAUCCAAGGCUCCCCUUCAAAAGAAGCGUCGACGAAAAUCGUUUGACUGGUGAAGGGGAAGAAUACCUUCAACUACUAGGGUUGGUUUUCAAAUAAAAAUAAAACAAUAAUAAUCAAGAGGAGUAUAGAACUAAUGUGUUCAUUUAUCUCAACUUCUCUCUUUGAGAGAACCAUAGAAAAGUACUCUUGAGCAGUUCCAUAGUCAUUUACAUUAACAUUAGCAUUCCUCGAGUACGAAGAAGAAAAGACAAAGAAUAUACCGACGAGCUAGUUACACUCAUAUAUACGAAUGAAAACAAAGAAGAGACUCUCCAGCUCAAAAUUCCUAAAUGGUAUGUAGAACAAAUAGGAUUAGUGCUAUGUAUAUACUCUUAAAGCUUUACCAAUCAUUGCUUAUUCUGCUGCUGCCAAUGGUACUUUGGCCAAACUGUUAGCAAUCAGUUCUUCUGAAGACGACUCCUCAAACUUGGGGACAAAGCUCAUCGUGUAGUGGAACUCUAUUUGUAGGCGCUGAUGAAGGGGUGUCGAUGCCAUCAAUCCUUUCUUUACAUCAACUUGUAACUCCCUAAUAGGGAUUGCUGCCAAAAAACUCUUAAUGUACUCUUUACAUGCCUCUUUACCUUUAUAAAUGAUGUUCUUUUCAGGUACCCUGUCUUCCUGCAUACUGUCGUCGCUGUUGGUGCUCAUGAAAAUUUUGCUUUCAUCCGCAGCCUCUUUGACAUCGGUUUUCUGUUUUCUAUCGCAAGAUGGCUUAUCAUCUGGUUGUUGAGACUCACUAGGUGCUUGCAUAAUUGUUGUAUCUUGGUCAAAUUUGAGGAUAUAUGCCUGAUUACAACCCUCAAAAAGUAUCUCCCCAAGUGUGUCAUUGAUAUAGUACUCGUCUUUUUCAACCUUGAGGAUAAAGAAGUGGUCAUUCUAACUCACAAUGUAAACACAGGAGAUGCCAUGAUGAGGAGUUUCUUGAGUGGACUUAGAAAUCUCAUCCCAUAUGUUGUCAAAAGACGUGGAACCAUGAAGGAAGUGGAAUCCUUCCUCUUCUUCGAUUCCUUCGGGAUGAAAGAACCCAAUGAAUGAUUUUUCUGAGACUACUGAGAGUGGACGCACUUUAGCCUCGAGAACUGUCACGAGGUCAAAAUGCUUAUAUGGAAAACGUUCCCUAUAGGUCUCGUUUUCACAAAGAUCCCUCCACUGCAUCGAGCCUUCACAGAUAAGAGAAUCAAGUUGGGAUUUGAUGGGCAUAUCUUCAGGAUUGCAGUGGAACCAAUCAGCUAUGACAGCAACCAAGUUUGUACAAGCGCUUUCACCAGUAGCUCGUUUACUUCGUUGAUCAAUCAAAGCAAAGAAUAUCGAAGUCUGCAGCUUCAUUUGUCCGUCAUGGCUUAUUAUUUCUUUUUGCUCCCAACUACCCACAGCAAAACUUUCAUCUCAAAACUUAGAGACUGAAAUCGGAGAAGUUUCCUCAGAUUUGUGCCCCUGUAUGAACUACACACAUUAGUAAGAGGACUAGUUAUGACAUAUAUCGUCAAUCAUGAAUAAGAAAACCUCAGCAGUUAGAUACUUGAUACAACUGUACAAGUAGACUAAGCUACUAAAGAAAGCUACCAAACUUUGUAAUCUUCAAUUCGGCAAGCACAUUAGUGUACAAGUUAUUGCACGUUGAUCAGACCAUGACAUGAAGAUAAAAAAUGACUCAUCAAACAUAACAAAGAAAGCAAGAAAAAAAGAGACGUACCCUAGAAGAAGACUCGUUAGAUGAGCAAAGCUGUCGGCGAUCAAAGUCUAUAUCAUCUGCACCAUCCUCUCCAUAAUGUUUCUUCAACAAUGGCUCCCCCUUGGUUUUAGGAUAUUUUAAACUCAACUUCCUCUUCCUCCAGGAAAGAAGACUACAUUUUGAACUCUGCUCUGCAGAUUGAUUUGCUGCAGUUUUAUCCUCAGGGUACUUGUGCUUUGUGUCUGAAAUAUGAUGGCUGUAGUGGACUAAAUCCUCGUUACUACUGCUGCCGCUUGUAUUUGAACAAAAUGAUCCACCAGCAUGGUCUGUAUAGACGGGUGCUUCAUAACUGAAUAACUUCUGAACACUUGUAUCCUCUUUUCCUUUCUCAGAUUCUCCUACCGAAUCCUCAUCAAGUUAAUCGGUAUCCACAGGAUAAACAUAAUCGGGAUCCUCACUUCUGACUGAGUUCCUUCCAUCACUGCUGCUACCUUCCUCUGCAUGAUAUGCCUUUUUGUGUCGCCUAAAAGAUAAUGAUUUCCAAAAUUUAACCUUUUGUAGACCUGCUUUUAAAGAACCACCCCCAUUUCUGUCUGUCAACAAAGCCUUUCCAGGGUUUGGAGAUACUGGAGCAGACAUGAUAAACUUCAGAAAUAUCUCUGAAGCUUCGUGAGUGUUCCUCAAUUCCACAAGGUUGAGCACUAGCUGUCAACAAAUAUAUGAACAUAUCUUUAGGAAACAGUUGCAUUAGAUAAUAUAUUCACGUAGCUGCAGGAAUACAAGAACGCAAACAAAAAGCAUGUGUUUUAGUUUCUCUUAAACAGAGUGAAAGGCAAUUCUUGAAGCUGCCAACAGAGACUUUCAAGGGAACAAAAUUUUCAAUGCACUCUUGUUUAUCUCUAGCUACUGAAGCAAAGUCUGCAAGAUUCAAUGUCGCAGCAGAAAGUAUGGGUACCUUCUGAUUUGGUCCUUUGCUUGUACCCUGAUUCAGCAGAAGUAUGAAUAAAUACAAAGAAGGGAGUAAAUGAACAAUGAAAUCGAACACAACGACAACUUGUUCAAUGGAGAAAUUAGUGUCGAUGAAAAGCUAAAACCAAAACUAAAUGAUUAAAAGCACGAAAUAAUACACCCAUGGAUUGAAAAACACACGAUUCUCAUGAACGAUAGGUUCAAAGCAGUCAAAGGAACAUGCAGAUAAGGCCAAUGUUGUGCCUAUGGAAGAAGAACAACUUACUUCAGUCUCAAACAAGUUGAGAUAUAAGAAUUUACUAUUCCAUUUAAGCUCAGCACAUGUCAUCAUCAUACCAAAUAAAAAUACAAGCAAAAAUAAUUUACAUAAAAAAAAUAAUUAAAACCUAUUUCCAACUAGUAGAUAUGGCCUAUAUGAGUCUUCAUACUACAUUGUGUAUGAUCUCAUGACCUCCUGGUCACAUGGCAACAACUUAACCGGUUAAUCCAAGGCUCCCCUUCAAAAGGGGCGUCGACGAAAAUCGUUUGACUGAUGAAGGGGAAGAAUACCUUCAACUACUAGGGAUGGUUUUCAAAUAAAAACAAAACAAUAAUAAUAAUCAAGAGGAGUAUAAAACUAAUGUAUUCAUUUAUCUCAACUUCCCUCUUUGAGAGAACCAUAGAAAAGUACUCUUGAGCAGCUCCAUAGUCAUUUACAUUAGCAUUAGCAUUCCUCGAGUACGAAGAAGAAAAGACAAAGAAGAUACCGACGAGCUAGUUACACUCAUAUACGAAUGAAACAAAGAAGAGACUCUCUAGGUCAAAAUUCCUAAAUGGUAUGUAGAACAAAAUGAAUUAGCGCAAUAUAUAUACUAGUAAAGCUUUACCAAUCGUUGCUUAUUCUGCUGCUGCCGAUGGUACUAUGGACAAACUAUUAGCAAUCAGUUCUUCUGAAGAUGACUCCUCAAACUUGGGGACAAAGCUUAUUGUGUAGUGGAACUCGAUUUGUAGGCGCUGAUGAAGGGGUGUCGAUGCCAUCAAUCCUUUAUUUACAUCAACUUGUAACUCCCUAAUAGGGAUUGCUGCCAAAAAACUCUUAAUGUACUCUUUACAUUCAUCUUUACCUAUAUAAAUGAUGUUCUUUUCGGGUACCCUGUCUCCCUACAUACUGUCGUCGCUGUUGGUGCUCAUGACAAUUUUGCUUUCAUUCGCAGCCUCUUUGACAUUGGUUUUCUCUUUUCUAUCGCAAGAUGGCUUAUCAUCUGAUUGUUGAGACUCACUAGGUGCUUGCAUAAUUGUUGUAUCUUGGUCAAAUUUGAGGAUAUAUGCCUGAUUACCACCCUCAAAAAGCCUCUCCCCAAGUGUGUCAAUGAUAUAGUACGCGUCUUUUUCAACCUUGAGGAUAAAGAAGUGGUCAUUCCAACUCACAAUGUAAACACAGGAGUCGCCAUGACGAGGAGUUUCUUGAGUGGACUUAGAAAUCUCAUCCCAUAUGUUGUCAAAAGACAUGGAACCAUGAAGGAAGUGUAAUCCUUCCUCUUCUUCGAUUCCUUCAGGAUGAAAGAACCCAAUGAAUGAUUUUUUUGAGAUGACUGAGAGUGGACGCACUUUAGCCUCGAGAACUGUCUCGAGGUCAAAAUGCUUAUCUGGGAAACAUUCCCUAUAGGUCUUGUUUUCACAAGAUCCGUCCACUGCAUCGAGCCUUCACAGAUAAGAGAAUUAAGUUGGUACUUGAUAGACAUAUCUUCAGGAUUUCAGUGGAACCAAUCAGCUAUGACAGCAACCAAGGUUGUACAAGCGCUUUAAACAGCAGCUCAUUCAUUUCAUUGAUCAAUUGAAGCAAAGAGGAUCUGAGUCUGCAGCUUUAUUUGUCCAUCACGGCUUAUUAUUUCUUUCUGCUCCCAACUACCCACAGCGAAACUUUCAUCUCCAAACUCAGAGACUGAAAUCGGAGAAGUUUCCUCGGAUUUGUGCCCUGCAUGAACUACACACAUUAGUAAGAGGACUAGUUAUGACAUAUAUCUUCAAUCAUGAACAAGAAAACCUCAGCAGUUAGAUACUUGAUACAACUGUACAAGUAGACUAAGCUACUAAAGAAAGCUACCAAACUUUGUAAUCUUCAAUUCAGCAAGCACAUUGGUGUACAAGUUAUUGCACGUUGAUCAGACCAUGACAUGAAGAUAAAAAAUGACUCGUCAAACAUGACAAAGAAAGCAAGAAAAAAGGAGACGUACUUUAGAAGAAGACUCUUUAGAUGAGCAAAGCUGUCGGCGAUCAAAGUCUAUAUCGUCUGCACCAUCCUCUCCAUAAUGUUUCUUCAACAAUGGCUCCCUCUUGGUUUUAGGAUAUUUGAAACUCAACUUCCUCUUCCUCCAGGAAAGAAGACUACGUUUUGAACUCUGCCCUGCAGAUUGAUUUACUGCAGUUUUAUCCUCAGGGUACUUGUGCUUUGUGUCUGAAAUAUGAUGGCUGUAGUGGACUAAAUCCUCGUCACUGCUGCUGCCGCUUGUAUUUGAACAAAAUGAUCCACCAGCAUGGUUUGCAUAGACGGGUGCUUCAUAACUGAAUGACUUCUAAACAAUUGUAUCCUCAUUUCCUUCCUCAGAUUCUCCUACCGAAUCCUCAUCAAGUGAAUCUGUAUACAUAGGAUAAACAUAAUCGGGAUCCUCACUUCUGACUGAGUUCCUUUCAUCACUACUGCUCCCUUCCUCUGCAUGAUAUGCCUUUUUGUGUCGCCUAAAAGAUAAUGCUUUCCAAAAUUUACCCUUUCGCAGACCCGCUUUUAAAGAACCAUCUCCAUUUCUGUCUGUCAACAAAGCCUUUCCUGGGUUCGGAGAUACUGGAGCAGACAUGAUAAACUUCGGAAAUAUCUCUGAAGCUUUGUGAGCGUUCCUCAAUUUCACAAGGUUGAGCACUAGCUGUCAACAAAUAUAUGAACAUAUCUUUAGGAAACAGUCGCAUUUGACAAUAUAUUCACAUAGCUACAGGAAUACAAGAACACAAGCAAAAAGCAUGUGUUUUAGUUUCUCUUACACAGAGGGAAAGGCAACUCUUGAAGCUGCCAAUAGAGACUUCCAAAGGAAUGAAAAUUUCAAUGCCCUCUUGUUUAUCUCCAGCUACUGAAGCAAAGUCUGCAAGAUUCAAUGUCGCAGAAGAAAGUACGGGUACCUUCUGAUUUGGUCCUUUGCUUAUACCCUGAUUCAUUAGAAGUAUGAAUAAAUACAAAGAAGGGAGUAAAUGAACAAUGAAAUCAAACACAAAGACAACGUGUUAAAUAGAGGAAUUAGUGUCGAUGAAAAGCUAAAACCAAAACUAAAUAAUUAGAAGCACGAAAUAAUACACCCGUGGAUUGGAAAACAAACGAUUAUCAUGAACGAUAGGUUCAAAGCAGUCAAAGGAACAUGCAGAUAAGGCCAAUGUUGUGCCUAUGGAAGAAGAACAACUUGCUUCAGUCUCAAACAAGUUGAGGUAUAAGAAUUUACUAUUCCAUCUAAGCUCAACACAUGUCAUCAUCANNNNNNNNNNNNNNNNNNNNNNNNNNNNNNNNNNNNNNNNNNNNNNNNNNNNNNNNNNNNNNNNNNNNNNNNNNNNNNNNNNNNNNNNNNNNNNNNNNNNNNNNNNNNNNNNNNNNNNNNNNNNNNNNNNNNNNNNNNNNNNNNNNNNNNNNNNNNNNNNNNNNNNNNNNNNNNNNNNNNNNNNNNNNNNNNNNNNNNNNNNNNNNNNNNNNNNNNNNNNNNNNNNNNNNNNNNNNNNNNNNNNNNNNNNNNNNNNNNNNNNNNNNNNNNNNNNNNNNNNNNNNNNNNNNNNNNNNNNNNNNNNNNNNNNNNNNNNNNNNNNNNNNNNNNACGUUGAACCUAUGAAAGAAGUAGUCAUUAAAAAGUUCAAACCAUUUAUCAUUAACAACUCCUCCUAUUGUUUCUUCCCUUAAAAUCCAAUUGUUGGAUGCACACCAAAACAACUUUGGGAAGGAAUAAUCCUCAAGGUGCCUAAUCAUUUGCCACCAUUUUUAUUUAAUAAUAGACUAUGGCCAUAAUGCUUCUUUUUUCCUUAUCCAGAAAGCACAACUGAAUAUGUCUAAGAGAAAAAUAUGAAUGAAUACAGUAGGUCUCACCAUCCACCAUAUAACAUCAAAAUAAAUGAACCCCACAAGCUCAGAAAGUGGACCCAUUGAAAUGCAAUCAUGACAUUCCAGAAGGCUUAAAAAGCUUCUGACUCCCAGUGCAUGUCAGCAACAGUUUCUUAGACAUCAAUAUAACAAAGUUAAAACUCAGUUUACGCCAGUAGCAUGUCAAAAAAUUAUACUGUGUAUAUAUAUUAGACACUUUAGGCGAAAUUCUUGGCUUUGCCAUUGUUAAACUCACUAAGCUACUAGUACUCUAGGAGUAAUAAAACUCAGUAAAAACCACCAUAUUGAUGAUGAAUUUUACUAAGCUUCUCUUGUUUAACAUGUCCUCUGGAGAGGCUCAUACAAAUGAUGCUGCAAUAUAUUGAAUCACCAUGAUCAAAUAAUCAAAACUAAGCAUCAACCUAACCAAUAAAAGAAAAAAAUAAGUAUCCUAAUUUGCGGAAAUUCAAGAAAUUUAUCAUCCCAAGAAGUUAUAUAACAUAACCAGGAUUCAUAAAACAAUACAAAUAGCACCCUAUUUCAAGACAACAAAGGUACAAGCACUAGAUAUUCAUAUAACGUACAUUUCUCAAUAACAGUCAGACCUCACUAUAUCAGAGACCUUCAACAACAACAUUUCACUAUAACGGGCAAGUUUUCUGUGGAACCGAUUUUUCAUGUUGUGUUAUAUUAUAUGUUUUCUAUAACAACAUUGCACUAUAGCAAUCAAAAAAAUCUGAUUUUUCAAAGUUAGAGAGAGUGUUUCCGAUGGCCGAAAAAAACAGUUCAAAACAGUCAACAACUAGAAACAAAAACAACAAAUAUUAUAAAAACAAAAACUAUAACAAAAUAAUAAGAUAAUUGAGAUACAAAAAAUAUUGUAUAGUAACAGAAAUCGAAGGACAAAAAACUACAGGAGCAAUACUACGACGAAUAAUAAAAUAAAAAAUCAAGAAACUCACUGAAAUACCCUUUGAUGAUCCCUUCCACUUAAUUUCAACUCUUAAUCUAUCAAAAUCUUGGACCCCCAUUUUCUCAUUUAACAAAAAGUUGAAACCUUUAAGGCAAUUCACAGUAAUCUUAGCCUCAUAUUUCUUUGAUGAUAAUAAGGGUGAGCAUGACAUCUACUUCAUCAUCUUCACAACCUUAUUAUAUAUAUAUAAACUUUUUCAGCCACCCAACAGUGUCGCCUAGCGGUCAAUGAAAUGAGUCACAACUAUGACGUCACAGGUUCAAAUUCCAAUAAAGACAAGGCUCGAACACUACGAUUAUAAAAUAUAUAUAUAUAUGUAUAUUUUUUUCACCGACACAAAACAAGAAAAUAUCAAGAAAGAUCACUUUUUGUCUCAAAAAGACUUAAGGACUAGGAGUGUGCUUGUAGACUCCGGGUCGUUUGGUACAUGAUGAAUAAACAGUAGUUACUAUAAAUAGGGAAAUAAAAUAAUUUUGAGAUAUAGUGAAUCCCAAGCUUUAUGGUGAGAAAAUGAUUAAUUUCCUUAUAUGACGUAUCAUAACAACUCCUUUAUAUCUUAUACUAUUUCGAUUUACUUUUAUUUUUCACGCUUGAUAUCGUUUUUUUUUUUUACUUUUUACAUGAGGUAUAAGAGGUCGAAUAUAAUGGGUAUGAGGAAAGACGGGGGAAGCUAACUAAUAGUGAGGGGGUUCAUCCAAACUCCCUUCCGCAGAAUAUUAUACUACUAUUUAUGCAAGCUUAAAAUAAUUUUUCAUGUAUAUAUAGCAGACGUUGAACCCCCUUCGACUAGUUCUUUCGUUCAUAUUUUUUGAUUUUGAACCCCCUUAGUUAAGAUUGAGGAAAGGUUGAUAUAGGUCGGUGAAAUAUUGAAGAGAGAUGAUUAGAUAGGACAUAGUGUAAUUUUUUACUUUACGAGAGUUAAUUUAACUAAUAUUCGGUUUAAUUUGAAUUUAUUUAAAAUUCAAAUGUUUGAUAACUAUAAGAAAGAAUACUACUUCUUCGGAUUCAAUUUAUUAUCUGGUUUUGAUUUGACAUUGAGUUUAAAAAAAUAAAGAAUAUUUUUGAAUUUUACAAUUAAAUUAUGUCUUGUACUUGUAUGGUUAACUUUUAUUUGUCACGUUCGACUUUGUUUAUUUUUACUUUUCAAGAAAGCUAUGAGAGGUUGGAUAUAAUGAACACGAGCAGAGGUUGAUGUAGGUCAAUGAAGUAUUGGAGAACAUAGAUUAGAAAAGAUAUAGUAUAACAAAAUUUAUUUUAAAAAAUUCAAAUGUUUAAAAACUAUAGAGAAAAUCUACUUUUAUUGUUUUAAUUUGUUUUUUUUUUAAUUUUGACUUGACAUGAAAUUUAAGAAAAACGAAGAAUAUUUUAAUUCUUGUGGCCGGAGUCCUACACUAAAUAUAUGUAGAAUAUAUCAACAUAUCAUUUAAUCUUGUUGUGUUAAACAUAUCGUGUGAAAAGUUAAAGCAUUAUCAAAAAAUAAAGCAUAUAUUUUAAACAUAUAAAAAGAAACGUACGGCAAAUAGAUUAAAACAGAGGGAGUAGAAUAAGUUGUAAUCCUUUUUGUAUAAAUACAAUUAAAAAAUAUAUUUUAAAAUAUUGAUCAACAUCAAUGCAAUUUAAUUCUCAAGGAAUAAAAUAUGACAAGUAAAUCAAACGAAUAGAAUGAUAAUUUUAUACAUAGAUAUAUCUAUAAUAUAUUAAAAGUGUGAAGACCUUUAAAAAAGUGAUUUGAAUUUUUUGCCCUUCGUUAAAAGACUCUUCUUUAGAUAAAACUGUAUUUUCACUAUUUUUUAAAUUUAUUAUUUAAUUAUUUCUUAUUAUAUUAACUAGACUUCCUAAAAUAUAUGGGACUCCUAAAAUAUAUGGUAGGAGUAUUAAUUAAUAUUUUUCUUUCUACUGUUCAAGUAGAAAAAUACACCUAAAAUAUGACUACUUUAUUAUUUAAUUAUUUUUUAUUAUAUUAACUAGACUUCUAAAAUAUAUGGUAGGAGAAUUAAUUAAUAUUUUCCUUUCUACUCGAUUUUCGUAGGAGAAUUAAUUAAUAAUUUUCUUUCUAUUGUUUGAUUAGAAAAAUACUCAUAAAAUAGGACUCUAUUAAGAAAAUACUCUAUAAAUAUUAAUUAUUUUAUUAUUUUACUUUAAUUUACAGAUGUUAGAUAAAUGUGGGUCGGCUUUGAAUUUUUUUUACAUAAAUGUUAGGUUAAUUGUAUUAUCGUAAUAUCUAUAUUAAUUUGUUAUUUUAUGAUAGUUUACAGUUUGUAGAUGAAUCUCGAUUGGUUUUUAGAAAUUUUUAUGUGUAAAAUUUAAGUUUAAUUGUAUUAUUUUUAUAUCACUUUUAUCGUAUUAUUUUGUUGCAAUUUAUAGGUGAUAGAUAAAUGUUGGUCCGCUUUGAGAAUUUUUUUAUGUAAAAGUUAGGUUUAGUUGUAUUAUUUUGAUAUCUCUAUUAUUGUAUUACUUUGUUAUUGUUUACAGAUGUUAGGUGAGUGUCGAACGAUUUUGAAAAUUUUUUUGUGUGUAAAGAUUAGAUUUAGUUGUGUUAUUUUGAUAUCUCUAUCAUUAUAUUAUUUUGUUAUAAUUUAUAGAUGGGAGAUGAAUGUCGAUCGACUUCUAAAAAUAUUUUGGUAAAGAUUAGGUUUAAUAAAUAAAUUCUCCAUCUUUACAUACUUAAAAGAUAUUAGUUUUUUUCUUCCUUUUUUUUUUUGCUUUUUUUGUUUUCUCUUUUUUCUUUCUUUUUUCAAUUUUUUCUUUCUCGUUAUCUUUUUUCCAUUUUGUCUUUUUUUCUUCUUUUUAUUUUUCUUUUUUCUUUUUUUUUUGUUUUUGUACUGAUCAAUUGGAGAAAUAAUCCUAAAAUAGUAUAGAAAAAUACUUCUAAAACAGGAUUCCACUAAGUAAAUACUUCUAUAAAUAUUAAGAUUCACGUUAAACUAGAGAAAAAAUGAAUUUACUUAUUGGAAAAAUAUGAUAGAUGCUCAUCUAACUUGAUUCAGUUGCAUGUCUAGAUUCGUGGAUGCUUAAUUUUCUAGCCCUCAACUUCUUCACUAUUUUUGUCAACAUAAUAAAAUUCAACAUGUGUGUAUAUAUAUAUAUCUUCUUUGCUUUCAUUCAAGUCAUUCUUUAGUGUCAAAAUUUUUGCUCAGACAAGAAUUAUUUUCAUCAAAACUGAAAUUUUGUGAUCACUAUUGUAUUAUUCUGUUGUAGUUUACAGGUUGUAGAUGAAUUUACAGGUGGUAGAUGAAUAUUGGUCAGCUUUGAGAGGUUUAAUUGCAUUGUUUUUAUAUCUCUGUUUUGCAAAUUUUUUUGUGUAAAGAUAAAGUUUAGCUGUAUUAUUUUGAUAUCUCUAUUGUCAUAUUAUUUUGUUAUAGUUUAAAGGUGAUAGACGAGUGUCGGACGGCUUUGAAUUUUUUUGUGUGUAAAGGUUAGAUUUAAUUAUAUUGUUUUGAUGUCUCUACCAUCUUAUUGUUUUGUUGUUGUUUAUAGGUGGUAGAUGAAUGUCGAUCGGCUUUGAGAAAUUCUUUUGGUAAAGGCUAGGUUUAAUUAAAUCAAUUCUCCAAAAGAUGUUAAAUUUAAUUAUUGUAUUUAUCUUUAUUAUUUAAACAAAUUUGAACUCGAUAAAGUGAGGUACACUAAACUAGUUUUAUAAUACAUGGUAACCCACUUUUACUAAUAUUAUUUACAACAGUGGCUUUUAUGGCUUUGAUUAUUUUUUUGAGAUAAGCAUCCAGUAUUGCCUCGAACUAUGGUCAAAGUUGUUACGACACACUCCAACUUCACAGAGAUCCUAUUACCCCUGAACUCAAUUUUAGCAUAUUUUUGUCACUCUUUUAUGCUGAUGUAGCACGUUUAUUAUAUAAAAGCGGCUCCACGUCAAAGAUGCCACGUCGGCUAAAAAGAUUGACAAAAGAUGUUAUGGCAGCACAAAAGAGUGACAAAAAUAUGCUAUAACUGAGUUCAGGGGUAAUAGGAUCCCCUGAAUUUGGAGUGUGUCGUAGCAAAUUUGGUCAUAGUUUAGGAGUAGUAGAUGCUUUACUCUAUUUUUUGAAAAAACUUGGUUUGAAUUUAGAUGCAACCUAUUUAGAAGAAGAAAGAAGUAUACAAAGACUUAUGUUGUCAAAAAAUUUUCUUUGGAAGGUAACUUUUGUUCUUGUUUGAAAGAACUACAAUGCUUUAUUUAUAACUCUUAGCAAAUGGUCUAGCUCUGCCUCUGCAAGGGGGUGUAAUAUAGAAGACCUACCCUUAUGCAAGCCGAUUCUAUGGCCCCAUUCCAAUGACUUUUAGGUCACAAAGCGACACGUAUGUAAGCAGCCUACCCUAACACUGCUUCCAAUGCUCAAACCUGUGACCUAUAGAUCACAUGGAGAAUUGCAUAACUGCCACCAUCAACAACUAAUUCCACGACACAAACCUAUGACUGGCAUAUAUGUAAGCAACCUAUACGGAUGUGCAAGGAACAGUAUGACUUCGCAGCUCGAACUCGUGAGCUAUAAGUCACAUGUAAACUUUAUUGUCAGCCUAUCCUGCUGUUCAGGUACUAAUGAGUGAUUUGGAAGACUCGAGCUAACGAACAAUUGUCCUUGCUCCAAAGCCAGAGAAAAAUGAUUCUCCUAAUGUACAGAGUGUGAUGGUGCAGUAUACUUUCUUAAUUCUUACUAUUGAAAAGGGCAGCCCGUUGUGCUAAAGCUCCCGCUAUGCGCAGGGUUUGGGGAAGGGUCCCACCACAAGGGUGUAUUGUACGCAACUUUACCUUGCAUUUCUGGCAGAGGCUGUUUCCAAGGUUUGAUCUCGUAACCUCCUGGCCACAUGGCAACAACUUUAUCGGUUAAUCCAAGGCUCCCCUUCAAAAGCAGCGUCGACAAAAAUCGUUUGACUGGUGAAGGGGAAGAAUACCUUCAACUACUAGGGAUGGAUUUCAAAUAAAAAGAAAACAAUAAUAAUCAAGAGGAGUAUAGAACUAAUGUAUUCAUUUAUCCCAACUUCCCUCUUUGAGAGAACCAUAGAAAAGUACUCUUGAGCAGUUCCAUAGUCAUUUACAUUAGCAUUAGCAUUCCUUGAGUAUGAAGAAGAAUAUAUACGAGUGAAAACAAAGAAGAGACUCUCCAGGUCAAAAUUCCUAAAUGGUAUGUAGAACAAAAAGGAUUAGCGCUAUGUAUAUACUCGUAAAGCUUUACCAAUCGUUGCUUAUUCUGCUGCUGUCGAUGGUGCUUUGGCCAAACUGUUAGCAAUCAGUUCUUCUGAAGACGAAUCCUCAAACUUGGGGACAAAGCUCAUUGUGUAGUGGAACUCAAUUUGUAGGCGCUGAUGAAGGGGUGUCUAUGCCAUCAAUCCUUUCUUUACAUCAACUUGUAACUCCCUAAUAGGGAUUGCUGCCAAAAAACUCUUAAUGUACUCUUUACAUGCCUCUUUACCUAUAUAAAUGAUGUUCUUUUCAGAUACCUUGUCUUCCUGCAUACUGUCGUCGCUGUUGGUGCUCAUGAAAAUUUUGCUUUCAUCCGCAGCCUCUUUGACAUUGGUUUUCUCUUUUCUAUCGCAAGAUGGCUUAUCAUCUGAUUGUUGAGACUCACUAGGUGCUUGCAUAAUUGUUGUAUCAUGGUCGAAUUUGAUGAUAUAUGCCUGAUUACAACCCUCAAAAAGCAUCUCCCCAAGUGUGUCAAUGAUAUAGUACUCGUCUUUUUCAACCUUGAGGAUAAAGAAGUGGUCAUUCCAUCUCACAAUGUAAACACAAGAGAUGCCAUGACGAGGAGUUUCUUGAGCAGACUUAGAAAUCUCGUCCCAUAUGUUGUCAAAAGACAUGGAACCAUAAAGGAAGUGGAAUCCUUCCUCUUCUUCGAUUCCUUCGGGAUGAAAGAACCCAAUGAAUGAUUUUUCUAAGACGACUGAGAGUGGACGCACUUUAGCCUCAAGAACUGUCUCGAGGUCAAAAUGCUUAUCUGGGAAACGUUCCCUAUAGGUCUCAUUUUCACAAAGAUCCCUCCACUGCAUCGAGCCUUCACAGAUAAGAGAAUCAAGUUGGGAUUUGAUAGGCAUAUCUUCAGGAUUGCAGUGGAACGAAUCAGUUAUGACAGCAACCAAGUUUGUACAAGCGCUUUCACCAGUAGCUCGUUUACUUCGUUGAUCAAUCGAAGCAAAGAAGAUCGGAGUCUGCAGCUUUAUUUAUCCAUCACGGCUUAUUAUUUCUUUUUGCUCCCAACUACCCACAGCAAAACUUUCAUCUCAAAACUUAGAGACUGAAAUCGGAGAAGUUUCCUCAGAUUUGUGCCCCUGUAUGAACUACACACAUUAGUAAGAGGACUAGUUAUGACAUAUAUCUUCAAUCAUGAACAAGAAAACCUCAGCAGUUAGAUACUUGAUACAACUGUACAAGUAGACUAAGCUACUAAAGAAAGCUACCAAACUUUGUAUUCUUCAAUUCGGCAAGCACAUUGGUGUAUAAGUUAUUUCACGUUGAUCAGACCAUGACAAGAAGAUAAAAAAUGACUCGUCAAACAUGACAAAGAAAGCAAGAAAAAAAGAGACGUACCCUAGAAGAAGACUCGUUAGAUGAGCAAAGCUGUCGGCGAUCAAAUUCUAUAUCGUCUGCACCAUCCUCUCCAUAAUGUUUCUUCAACAAUGGCUCCCCCUUGAUUUUAGGAUAUUUGAAACUCAACUUUCUCUUCCUCCAGGCAAGAAGACUACGUUUUGAACUCUGCUCUGCAGAUUGAUUUGCUGCAGUUUUAUCCUCAAGGUACUUGUGCUUUGUGUCUGAAAUAUGAUGGCUGUAGUGGACUAAAUCCUCGUCACUGCUGCUGCUGCUUGUAUUUGAACAAAAUGAUCCACCAGCAUGGUUUGCAUAGACUGGUGCUUCAUAAUUGAAUGACUUCUGAACACUUGUAGCCUCAUUUUCUUUCUCAGAUUCUCGUACCGAAUCCAAAUCAAGUUAAUCGGUAUCCACAGGAUAAACAUAAUUGGGAUCCUCACUUCUGACUGAGUUCCUUCUAUCACUGCUGCUACCUUCCUCUGCAUGAUAUGCCUUCUUGUGUCACCUAAAGGAUAAUGCUUUUCAAAAUUUAACCUUUCGCAGACCUGCUUUUAAAGAACCACCCCCAUUUCUGUCUGUCAACAAAGCCUUUCCAGGGUUCGGAGAUACUGGAGCAGACAUGAUAAACUUCAGAAAUGUCUCUGAAGCUUCUUGAGCGUUCCUCAAUUCCACAAGGUUGAGCACUAGCUGUCAACAAAUAUAUGAACAUAUCUAUAGGAAACAGUCACAUUAGAUAAUAUAUUCAAGUAGCUGUAGGAAUACAAGAACGCAAGUAAAAAGCAUGUGUUUUAGUUUCUCUUACACAGACUGAAAGGCAAUUCUUGAAGCUGCCAACACAUACUUCCAAAGGAACGAAAAUUUCAAUGCACUCUUGUUUAUCUCCUGCUACUGAAGCAAAGUCUGCAAGAUUCAAUGUCACCGCAGAAAGUACGGGUACCUUCUGAUUUGGUCCUUUGCUUGUACCCUGAUUCAGCAGAAGUAUGAAUAAAUACAAAGAAUGGAGUAAAUGAACAAUGAAAUCGAACACAAAGACAACGUGUUCAAUGGAGAAAUUAGUGUUGAUGAAAAGCUAAAACCAAAACUAAAUGAUUAGAAGCACGAAAUAAUAGACCCAUGGAUUGGAAAACACAUGAUUAUCUUGAACGAUAGGUUCAAAGCAAUCAAAGGAACAUGCAGCUAAGGCCAAUGUUGUGCCUAUGGAAGAAGAACAAAUUGCUUCAGUCUCAAACAAGUUGAGAUAUAAGAAUUUACUAUUCCAUUUAAUCUCAGCACAUGUCAUCAUCAUACCAAAUAAAAAUACAAGCGAAAAUAAGUUAUAUAAAAAAAAUAAUUAAAACCUAUUUCCAACUAGUAGAUAUGGCCUAUAUGAGUCUUCAUACUACAUUGUGUAUGAUCUCGUGACCUCCUGGUCACAUGACAACAACUUUACCGGUUAAUCCAAGGCUCCCUUUCAAAAGGGGCAUCGAGAAAAUCGUUUGACUGGUGAAGGGGAAGAAUAAAUUCAACUACUAGGGAUGGUUUUCAAAUAAAAACAAAACAAUAAAAAUCAAGAGGAGUAUAGAACUAAUGUAUUCAUUUAUCUCAACUUCCCUCUUUGAGAGAACCAUAGAAAAGUACUUUUGAGUAGCUCCAUAGUCAUUUACAUUAGCAUUAGCAUUCCUCGAGUACGAAAAAGAAAAGACAAAGAAGAUACCGACGAUCUAGUUACACUCAUAUACGAAUGAAACAAAGAAGAGACUCUCCAUGUCAAAAUUCCUAAAUGGUAUGUAGAACAAAAAGGAUUAGCGCUAUGUAUAUACUCGUAAAGCUUUACCAAUCGUUGCUUAUUCUGCUGCUGCCGAUGGUGCUUUGGCCAAACUAUUAGCAAUCAGUUCUUCUGAAGACAACUCCUCAAACUUGGGGACAAAGCUCAUCUUGUAGUGGAACUCGAUUUGUAGGCACUGAUGAAGGGGUGUCAAUGCCAUCAAUCCUUUCUUUACAUCAUCUUGUAACUCCCUAAUAGGGAUUGCUGCCAAAAAACUCUUAAUGUACUCUUUACAUGCCUCUUUACCUAUAUAAAUGAUGUUCUUUUCAGGUACCCUAUUAAUUAAUAUUUUUCUUUCUACUGUUCAAGUAGAAAAAUACUCCUAAAAUAUGACUACUUUAUUAUUUAAUUAUUUUUUAUUAUAUUAACUAGAUUUCCUAAAAUAUAUGGUAGGAGAAUUAAUUAAUAUUUUCCUUUCUACUCGAUUUUCGUAGGAGAAUUAAUUAAUAAUUUUCUUUCUAUUGUUUGAUUAGAAAAAUACUCAUAAAAUAGGACUCUAUUAAGAAAAUACUCUAUAAAUAUUAAUUAUUUUAUUAUUUUACUUUAAUUUACAGAUGUUAGAUAAAUGUGGGUCGGCUUUGAAUUUUUUUUACAUAAAUGUUAGGUUAAUUGUAUUAUCGUAAUAUCUAUAUUAAUUUGUUAUUUAAUGAUAGUAUACAGUUUGUAAUACUCUAUAAAUAUUAAUUAUUUUAUUAUUUUACUUUAAUUUACAGAUGUUAGAUAAAUGUGGGUCGGCUUUGAAUUUUUUUUAAAAUAAAUGUUAGGUUUAAUUGUAUUAUCGUAAUAUCUAUAUUAAUUUGUUAUUUUGUGGUAGUUUACAGUUUGUAGAUGAAUCUCGAUCGGUUUUUAGAAAUUUUUAUGUGUAAAAUUUAAGUUUAAAUGUAUUAUUUUUAUAUCACUUUUAUCGUAUUAUUUUGUUGCAAUUUACAGGUGAUAGAUAAAUGUUGGUCCGCUUUGAGAAUUUUUUUAUGUAAAAGUUAGGUUUAGUUGUAUUAUUUUGAUAUCUCUAUUAUUGUAUUACUUUGUUAUUGUUUACAGAUGUUAGGUAAGUGUCGAACGAUUUUGAAAAUUUUUUUGUGUGUAAAGAAUAGAUUUAGUUGUGUUAUUUUGAUAUCUCUAUCAUUAUAUUAUUUUGUUAUAAUUUAUAGAUGGUAGAUGAAUGUCGAUCGGCUUUUAAAAAUAUUUUGGUAAAGAGUAGGUUUAAUAAAUAAAUUCUCC
rnacentral:lncRNA from 1 species